GGAACCUGCUUAAAAGGGAAAAUUACAGGUUAGAAAACAAGGUUCAUGGUUUUCACAGAAAGACCCCAAAAUGAAUGACGUAUAUUUUCUUUCAUGUAACAAGCAGAAUGUGAGCGGUCCGAGUCCGGCAGGCAGUCAUGCCCGAACGUCUGGCUUCUGCCCCUGGGUCCCAGGGAACUGCUCCAGUGGUCGCAAUGUCCAGCCAGUGAGAAGGAAAAAGACAAAGUGGAGGGCAAGCAAUUUCCUUUUCAAAGGACAGGACCCGGAAGUUGUGACCUUGGGGACCUACCACACCCAAGGACAGAAGAGGGUCUGAAAACAAGUCCUGAGGGGCUCUCCCAGCUAAAGAUCAGGAGAGGAGAAGAAGUUAAGGGGAAAGGAUGAGAGCCUAAAGAAGAGCAAGGAGCGGAGAAAGCCAGAAGUUGCAGACAUGUACAGGGCACCUCUAUGGAGAACCAUGAGGACAAGACAUGUUACCCUGAAAUCUGACGCCAGUUUUGGAUUCUCAUGGAAGUCGUUCAGAGGAAUCAGCAAAAAGAUGUAGGUCAUGAAAAUGAAUACUGACUUAGUAUCA